rnacentral:miRNA from 1 species
UAAAACUUUAAGUGUGCCUAGG